UGGGGAAUAUUGGGCAAUGGGGCGAAAGCCUGACCCAGCAACGCCGCGUGAGGGAAGAAGGGUUUCGGCUCGUAAACCUCUGUCCUAUGGGACGAAGAAGGUGACGGUACCAUAGGAGGAAGCCCCGGCUAACUACGUGCCAGCAGCCGCGGUAAUACGUAGGGGGCAGCGUUGUCCGGAAUGAUUGGGCGUAAAGGGCGCGUAGGCGGCCUAUUAAGUCUGGAGUGAAAGUCCUGCUUUCAAGGUGGGAAUUGCUUUGGAUACUGAUGGGCUGGAGUGCAGGAGAGGAAAGCGGAAUUACCGGUGUAGCGGUGAAAUGCGUAGAGAUCGGUAGA
rnacentral:rRNA from 1 species